rnacentral:rRNA from 1 species
GACGAACGCUGGCGGCGUGCUUAACACAUGCAAGUCGAACGGAAAGGCCCUGCUUUUGUGGGGUGCUCGAGUGGCGAACGGGUGAGUAACACGUGAGUAACCUGCCCUUGACUUUGGGAUAACUUCAGGAAACUGGGGCUAAUACCGGAUAGGAGCUCCUGCUGCAUGGUGGGGGUUGGAAAGUUUCGGCGGUUGGGGAUGGACUCGCGGCUUAUCAGCUUGUUGGUGGGGUAGUGGCUUACCAAGGCUUUGACGGGUAGCCGGCCUGAGAGGGUGACCGGCCACAUUGGGACUGAGAUACGACCCAGACUCCUACUGGAGGCAGCAGUGAUGAAUAUUACACAAUGGGCGGAAGCCUGAUGCAGCAACGCCGCGUGCGGGAUGACGGCCUUCGGGUUGUAAACCGCUUUCGCCUGUGACGAAGCGUGAGUGACGGUAAUGGGUAAAGAAGCACCGGCUAACUACGUG